rnacentral:rRNA from 1 species
GACGAACGCUGGCGGCGUGCUUAACACAUGCAAGUCGAACGGAAAGGCCCUGCUUUUGUGCGGUGCUCGAGUGCCGAACGCGUGAGUAACACGUGAGUAACCUGCCCUUGACUUUGGGAUAACUUCAGGAAAGUGGGGCUAAUACCGUAUAGGAGCCCCUGCUGCAUGGUGGGGGGUGGAUAGUCUCGGCGGUAGGGGAUGGACGCGCGGCUUACCAGCUUGUUGGUGGGGUAGUGGCUUACCAAGGCUUUGACGGGUCGCCGGCCGGAGAGCGUGGCCGGCCACAUUGGUCCUGCGGUAGGCACCAGAGUGCUACAUGAGACAGUAGUGGCGAGUCUUGCACAGUGAGCCGAAGUCUGUUAAGGAAACGCUGCGUUCGUGAUGCCGGCCUUCGGGUUGAAAACAGCUUUAGCUUGUGACGAAGCGUGAGUGACGGUACCCAAUGAAGAAGCACCGGCUAACUACGUG